rnacentral:rRNA from 1 species
CCAAUAGCGUAUAUUAAAGUUGUUGCAGUUAAAAAGCUCGUAGUUGAACCUCGGGGUCUACCCAUUGGUCAGGCUUAAUUGUCUGCACUGGUGAGAUGGAUCUCUACCUUCUGAGGAACUUUCAUGCCAUUUAUUUGGUGUGAUGGGAAAUCAGGACUGUUACUUUGAAAAAAUUAGAGUGUUUAAAGCAGACUAUCGUCUGAAUACAUUAGCAUGGAAUAAUGAAAUAGGACGGACUGAUUCUAUUUCGUUGGUUUCUAGGAUCACCGUAAUGAUUAAUAGGGAUAGUUGGGGGCAUUAGUAUUCAAUUGUCAGAGGUGAAAUUCUUGGAUUUAUUGAAGACUAACUACUGCGAAAGCAUUUGCAAAGGAUGUUUUCAUUAAUCAAGAACGAAAGUUAGGGGAUCGAAGACGAUCAGAUACCGUCGUAGUCUUAACCAUAAACUAUGCCGACUAGGGAUCGGACGAAGUUAAUUUUAUAAUGACGCGUUCGGCACCUUACG